CAGCAGCCGCGGGAAUACGUAGGUCCCGAGCGUUGUCCGGAUUUAUUGGGCGUAAAGCGAGCGCAGGCGGUUAGAUAAGUCUGAAGUUAAAGGCUGUGGCUUAACCAUAGUACGCUUUGGAAACUGUUUAACUUGAGUGCAAGAGGGGAGAGUGGAAUUCCAUGUGUAGCGGUGAAAUGCGUAGAUAUAUGGAGGAACACCGGUGGCGAAAGCGGCUCUCUGGUCUGUAACUGACGCUGAGGCUCGGAAGCGUGGGGAGCGAACAGGAUUAGAUACCCCCGUAGUCCCUGUCUCUUAUACA
rnacentral:rRNA from 1 species